CUUAGCAAUGGAGACAAAGUCCCACCUGCAGAGUUUGCAAAGCUAGCAGCAGAAUACUCAGAAUGUCCUUCUGGGAAGAAGGGUGGAGAUCUUGGGUGGUUUCCACGUGGAAAGAUGGCUGGUCCAUUCCAGGAAGUUGCCUUCAGCACAGUUGUUGGAGCUACCAGUGCACCGUUUAAAUCAACUCAUGGAUAUCACAUAAUUUUAUGUGAAGGGAGAAAGAAUUGAUGUAAUGCAGUCAAGGGGCUCAAAACUGUAUGCUGUAGAUGGGUAUUGACAUCUUUUUACCUUGGAAAUCGAAGUGAGGUUAAUCAAUAUUGUGAUGCUUGAUUAGAAUACCCUACUAAGAAAGAGUUUCAUGAAUAUAUUAGGAGAUGAAUAUCUGAAUGUUGAUCAGUUUCUUUGCCUCCCCAUGUUCAUUUACAAUAAUGAGGAUGUAUUUAAGAGAAUUAUGAGAGAAACUCUUGAGAUUUGAUGAAAUUAAGUUAUGUUUUUUUAAAUCCAACAAAAC
rnacentral:misc_RNA from 1 species